rnacentral:rRNA from 1 species
UACGAAGGGGGCUAGCGUUGCUCGGAAUCACUGGGCGUAAAGCGCACGUAGGCGGAUUGUUAAGUCAGGGGUGAAAUCCUGGAGCUCAACUCCAGAACUGCCUUUGAUACUGGCGAUCUCGAGUCCGGGAGAGGUGAGUGGAACUGCGAGUGUAGAGGUGAAAUUCGUAGAUAUUCGCAAGAACACCAGUGGCGAAGGCGGCUCACUGGCCCGAUACUGACGCUGAGGCACGAAAGCGUGGGGAGCGAACGAGG